rnacentral:misc_RNA from 1 species
ACCCCCAGACACAUCGACUCGCUCGUGGUAUCGCGCAAGAAGCAACACGGCGCCGUCCACCCACCCCGCACGCACCGGCGCUCGACACGCAUACCUUCGCAGUAUCGAAGCAGCCUGUGAGUACCGCUCUGCGCGCGCCACAACUCAAGACGCUCGCUCACUCGCUCUCCCCAGCGUCGCGCACAUGCGCGCUUCUCUUGCGCUUGGAUCGUUGAUGGUAGACAGACGCUUCCUUCUCCAUCUAGCGGUGUGGAUGCUGCUCGGCCUUGGAGCCUUCCCCUCGCGAACUCGGUGAUGCCUCCGCGACGCCGACAGCUGCACGCGUGCGCAGGGCUUGCACUCCGCAGUGACCGCGGACAGCAUCCGCGUGCGAUGGCAACACGCACCAUCUACCACCUCCCGAACAUUCCCCAUGCAAGCUGUGCUGCGGCGAGCAGGAACCACGGAGGGCCUGCAAGCGCAUCAGAGGAGCCACUGCACGCCAAAGACGUACACACUGGCGCUGGAGAAGGACGAGGCGGCUGUGGCAGUGGCGAGGGCGCAGAGGAGGAGGUGGUUGUAUGUGCCGCACCGCCGACGGCGCCGCAGCUCGCAAGCGCGGUCACACGAGGUCGAGGAGAUGGCGGGGCAGUGCACACGUUAAAGCGGUACCUACGCCCAUACGAGGAGGAGGGCAGCGGUGCUGUGCUUCUAGAAAGGGAGCCGGACGGCACGGUCGCGCCACCCCCAAGGCACAACUGCCCCAAGCCGGCGAAGCUUGACACCGACGUCUGGCAUUGGAGUGGCGACAUAGAAGAGGUGCGGCAACACACAAGCGUGGAUGGUCGACGGGCCGGCCAUGACCGCACAGCGACGGCAGAACACCGAAGAGGUGAUCGCACCUCAGAGUGCGCCUGUGGUACCCGUAGUCGUCAUUGCCUCCCCGCGCAGAAGAAGUUUAGGUGCGACGCGACACCGACACCUGCAUCUUGCGCUGCUGCUACGGACAAUUUUGAUGAAAGAUGCGAUGCCGCCUUCGCAGAAAGGGGAUGCGUUGCUGUAGCAGUGUUUAGUCGCCCGCCGGACUCACGUGCACUGGAGGACGCGCGCCCCUCAUCACCACUACUGUUACCGUCCUCUCCUGCCUCCACGAAUAGUAGCGAGACGAGCGCGCCGAGGUCGUCAACGUGGGCAACAACACGCUGUCGCAGACGUGACAGCGGUGGCGAGGACGAUACUUUGUUUAGGUGCUCCACCACCGCCACUUCAGCCUCUGAGAUCGACAGCGAUGGUUGCCCAGAGGAUGGCCACGGUAGCCUGGUGCAAGGGGUCUUUGUCGAGUGUGAGGCGCGCUCUGCGGGUUCCGGAAGCGGUCCGCAGCUGGCGAUUCCAAGGCAUCUGGCGGCCCAGCAGAGUAGCGCUUGCGACGUGCUGCGAGACCGUCCGCUCAUCGCUGCACCACCAAGUAGCGAGCAGAUUACAGCCGCACCCACGAACCGCGCCAGCGGCAAGAUCGCCCGCCUCACAAACUUUUACUUAGAGCCCCGCUACCGCCGACACGCGCAGCACAUGGCACUGCAUGAUCUGCCGCUGGCGACAUCGGCGACAGUGCCAUCGCGCUCUAGCACGUCCUCCAGCAUGUUUCUCCAGCUGUUCACAGCAUCUCCUCCUUCGUGCCCUGCGGGUUGCGAGGUGAAGCGCGACGCAGCUUCGCGCACGAACGACGACGAGAUGGGCGUGAGGCCGCCGAUCUGGUCUAUCAUCAUGAAGUACUAUGCCGCCCAUCAUGAGCGGCAACUGCCCCCACAUGCGCCUCUUUAAUGGUUAGAUAUCUCUUUCGGGGAGCAGACUGAGGCGGACGCGCAGCGACGCCUGUGCUCAAGGAGACACCGCUCGCGGCUCUCAUUUCUUUUCGCCCUCGCUCUACUCUGAGUUGAUUCCUGCUGCUGCUGCUGCCUCCACUUG